GGAGCUGUGGCUCAGUGGUAGAGCAUCUGCUUGGCAUACUGAAGGGCCCAGGUUCAAUUCCUAGCAUCUCCA